rnacentral:rRNA from 1 species
UGCGUAGGCGGCUUGUUAAGUCAGGAGUGAAAGGCCAUGGCUCAACUAUGGGAUUGCUUUUGAUACUGACGAGCUUGGAUUAGGACGAGGUUGGCGGAAUGUGGCAAGUAGCGGUGAAAUGCAUAGAUAUGCCAUAGAAUACCGAUUGCGAAGGCAGCUGACUAGACCUAUAUUGACGCUGAGGCACGAAAGCGUGGGGAGCGAACAGGAUUAGAUACCCUGGUAGUCCACGCCCUAAACGAUGCUAACUCGAUGUUCGGCCGCAAGGUGGAGCAUCCAAGCAAAUGCGAUAAGUUAGCCACCUGGGGAGUACGCCCGCAAGGGUGAA